UGCCCGCCCCCUGCUCCUCCGGCACCGAGUAAUUCAGGUUCUUCAGAGUCAGGGCAGGAGCCCAGCAGAAGAAGAAGCAACAAAUGGAAAGGUUGCUGAACCUGUUGCUCUAAAACAUCUGCAGAGACACAGGAUGCGGGGCAGCAAAUGGAGCAUGUAGCUCGCAGGGAGGGGCGAGAGGGCGAGAGAAAAGCCGCCUCAAAUCAAGCGCUUCUGCGGCCACACAAUCCCCGCACAGUUAUUUAGCCUGUCCAACUUCAGCUGGAGGAAGAGGAGGAGAAUAAAAAAUA